AGUGAACGCUGGCGGUAGGCCUAACACAUGCAAGUCGAACGGCAGCACAGUAAGAGCUUGCUCUUACGGGUGGCGAGUGGCGGACGGGUGAGGAAUACAUCGGAAUCUACUUUUUCGUGGGGGAUAACGUAGGGAAACUUAUGCUAAUACCGCAUACGACCUACGGGUGAAAGCAGGGGAUCUUUGGACUUUGCGCGAUUGAAUGAGCCGAUGUCGGAUUAGCUAGUUGGCGGGGUAAAGGCCCACCAAGGCGACGAUCCGUAGCUGGUCUGAGAGGAUGAUCAGCCACACUGGAACUGAGACACGGUCCAGACUCCGACGGGAGGCAGCAGUGGGGAAUAUUGGACAAUGGGCGAAAGCCUGAUCCAGCCAUACCGCGUGAGUGAAGAAGGCCUUCGGGUUGUAAAGCCCUUUUGUUGGGAAAGAAAAGCAGCAGGUUAAUACCCCGCUGUUCUGACGGUACCCAAAGAAUAAGCACCGGCUAACUUCGUG
rnacentral:rRNA from 1 species